UCCGGGCAUGGUGGCUUAUGCCUGUAAUCCCAGCACUUUGGGAGGCCGAGACGGGUGGAUCACGAGGUCAGGAGAUCGAGACCAUCCUGGCUAACACGGUGAAACCCCAUCUCUACUANNNNNNNNNNUAGUAGAGAUGGGGUUUCACCGUGUUAGCCAGGAUGGUCUCGAUCUCCUGACCUCGUGAUCCACCCGUCUCGGC
rnacentral:SRP_RNA from 1 species